UACGUAGGGGGCAAGCGUUGUUCGGAAUUACUGGGCGUAAAGGGCGCGUAGGCGGCACAGCAAGUCGGGAGUGAAAUCCCCGGGCUCAACCUGGGAAUUGCGAUGGAGACUGCAAGGCUAGAAUCUGGCAGAGGGGGGUAGAAUUCCACGUGUAGCAGUGAAAUGCGUAGAGAUGUGGAGGAACACCGAUGGCGAAGGCAGCCCCCUGGGUCAAGAUUGACGCUCAUGCACGAAAGCGUGGGGAGCAAACAGG
rnacentral:rRNA from 1 species